rnacentral:rRNA from 1 species
AUACGGAGGGUGUAAGCGUUAAUCGGAAUUACUGGGCGUAAAGCGUACGUAGGCGGUUUAUUAAGUCAGAUGUGAAAGCCCCGGGCUUAACCUGGGAACUGCAUUUGAAACUAGUAGACUAGAGUAUGGUAGAGGGGGGUAGAAUUCCUAGUGUAGCGGUGAAAUGCGUAGAUAUUAGGAGGAAUACCAGUGGCGAAGGCGGCCCCCUGGACCAAUACUGACGCUGAGGUACGAAAGCGUGGGGAGCGAACAGGAUUAGAAACCCCGGUAGUCC